NNNNNNNNNNNNNNNNNNNNNAGUCAUAUGCUUGUCUCAARGAUUAAGCCAUGCAUGUCUAAGUCCCAGCGAUCUAUAGCGAAACUGCGAAUGGCUCAUUAAAUCAGUUAUAGUUUAUUUGAUAGUACCUUUACUACAUGGAUAACCGUGGUAAUUCUAGAGCUAAUACAUGCUAAAAACCUCGACUUCGGAAGGGGUGUAUUUAUUAGAUAAAAAACCAAUGCCCUUCGGGGNUCCUUGGUGAAUCAUAAUAACUUAACGAACCGCAUGGCCUUGUGCCGGCGGUGGUUCAUUCAAAUUUCUGCCCUAUCAACUUUCGAUGGUAGGAUAGUGGCCUACCAUGGUGGCAACGGGUAACGGGAAUUAGGGUUCGAUUCCGGAGAGGGAGCCUGAGAAACGGCUACCACAUCUAAGGAAGGCAGCAGGCGCGCAAAUUACCCAAUCCCGAUACGNGGAGGUAGUGACAAUAAAUACUGAUACAGGGCUCUUUCGGGUCGUGUAAUUGGAAUGAGUACAAUCUAAAUCCCUUAACGAGUAACAAUUGGAGGGCAAGUCUGGUGCCAGCNNCCGCGGUAAUUCCAGCUCCAAUAGCGUAUAUUAAAGUUGUUGCAGUUAAAAAGCUCGUAGUUGAACCUUGGGUCUGGCUGGCCGGUCCGCCUCACCGCGUGUACUGGUCCGGCUGGACCUUUCCUUCUGGGGAACCCUAUGGCCUUCACUGGCUGUAGGGGGAACCAGGACUUUUACUGUGAAAAAAUUAGAGUGUUCAAAGCAGGCCUUUGCUCGGAUACAUUAGCAUGGAAUAAUAGAAUAGGACGUGUGGUUCUAUUUUGUUGGUUUCUAGGACCGCCGUAAUGAUUAAUAGGGAUAGUCGGGGGCGUCAGUAUUCGGCUGUCAGAGGUGAAAUUCUUGGAUUUGCUGAAGACUAACUACUGCGAAAGCAUUCGCCAAGGAUGUUUUCAUUAAUCAGUGAACGAAAGUUAGGGGAUCGAAGACGAUCAGAUACCGUCGUAGUCUUAACCAUAAACUAUGCCGACUAGGGAUCGGACGGGGUUCUACUUUAUGACCCGUUCGGCACCUUACGAGAAAUCAAAGUUUUUGGGUUCUGGGNNNNGUAUGGUCGCAAGGCUGAAACUUAAAUAAAUUGACGGAAGGGCACCACAAGGCGUGGAGCCUGCGGCUUAAUUUGACUCAACACGGGGAAACUCACCAGGUCCAGACAAAAUAAGGAUUGACAGAUUGAGAGCUCUUUCUUGAUCUUUUGGAUGGUGGUGCAUGGCCGUUCUUAGUUGGUGGAGUGAUUUGUCUGCUUAAUUGCGAUAACGAACGAGACCUUAACCUGCUAAAUAGCCCGGUCGACGUUUGUCGGCUGCUGGCUUCUUAGAGGGACUAUCGGUUCUUAAGCCGAUGGAAGUUUGAGGCAAUAACUGGUCUGUGAUGCCCUUAGAUGUUCUGGGCCGCACGCGCGCUACACUGACAGGGCCAACGAGUACAUCACCUUGGCCGAGAGGUCUGGGUAAUCUUGUUAAACCCUGUCGURCUGGGGAUAGACAUUGCAAUUAUUGCUCUUCAACGAGGAAUGCCUAGUAGGCGCAAGUCAUCAGCUUGUGCCGAUUACGUCCCUGCCCUUUGUACACACCGCCCGUCGCUACUACCGAUUGAAUGGCUCAGUGRGGCCUUCGGACUGGCGCCAGGAGGUUGGAAACGACCGCCUAGAGCCGGAAAGUUGGUCAAACUUGGUCAUUUAGAGGAAGUAAAAGUCGUAACAAGGUUUNNNNNNNNNNNNNNNNNNNNNNNNNNNNN
rnacentral:rRNA from 1 species